GCUAGUGGUGGUGGAAGCGGAUUUCCUAAGCUUUUUAUCAAGGCUCCCUUGAGACGAAUCUUCUAGGUGGAGUCUUUCCAAAGGGUAGCCUAUGAGAAGAUCAAACUCAAGCAUGGCAUAGAUGUGGAAUUCUAGGUGAACCUCAAUUUUGUCUAUCUUGAUCGACACUACCCUUGCGAUCCCUCGACAUUCAUAGAUGAGUCCCGAGGGACUCUCGAGGAGUUUGUCAAAUGGGACUAGAGGCAUGUUUCCUAAGGAAGUGUCC
rnacentral:lncRNA from 1 species